GACGAGUCUCACGAACGUUAUUCGGAAUUACUGGGCUUAAAGGGUGCGUAGGCGGUGGAGUAAGUCGGAUGUGAAAUACCUUAGCUUAACUAGGGAACUGCACUCGAUACUACUUUGCUAGAGUAAGACAGAGAUGAGUGGAACUGAGGGUGGAGCGGUGAAAUGCGUUGAUAUCCUCAGGAACACCGGUGGCGAAGGCGACUCACUGGGUCUUUACUGACGCUGAUGCACGAAAGCUAGGGUAGCAAACGGG
rnacentral:rRNA from 1 species